rnacentral:lncRNA from 1 species
AAAUAUAGUUUAUUUCGUCGGCUUUAUAGGGAUUUAGCCGACGAAUUAAAGCGUAUUUCGUCGGCUAAAACUUAUUUUAAAAAAAUUAAAGGACUUUAGCCGACGAAUUAAGGCGUUUUUCGUCGGCUAUAAGUCCAUUCCAGUAAAAAAAAACCCCGAAAUUUCUGAAUUACCAUUCCAAGCAAGCUGCAAAAUACACCAAAACAAUUCCAUAUAACCAACAACAAGCACAUAAAACUAUAUAAUUCAUUCAUCAACUACAGAAAAUCUAAAUCGUCUAAAUUAAUAUCCGCUUCUGGGGGCUGCUGCGGAGGUUGCGGCGGCUGGGGUAGCGGUAUGGGCGGAGCCGGAAGUCCUUGAAGAUGGGCAGCUGUAAAGUCCUACAUGUACUGGAACAUCUGCUGCUGCUGGGCCUGCUGGAUGGCAUGUAUCUCGGCAACAUAGGUUGCCUGCGCGGCAUUAUAGGCUGCCUGCGAGGCAUUAUAGGCAGCUUGCUGUUCUCGUAGUCUCUGAACUUCCGACUCUAGCUGAGUCGUCCUAGUGGUCGUGGACGUGGUCCUGCUGCUGGUCGAGGCUGCCUUUCGUUGAAAUCCUAGAGUGGUCUUCAGGACCCCCUCGCAUUUCUUUCCUAUAGACCCCGGCAGUAGAAGUUGUUUGCUCUCGGUGGGAAGGCUGUGCCCAUGAUCCUCGCCCCAAUUGUCGGAUCCGAAGUGUCGAUCCGGGACAUGGCUUCAGACAUCUCUUCCUCCUGCGUGUCCGGCCAUGUCUCCCUCGCUAUAGCACUCAUCACCUCGUCACUAGCCUCCCUCACCUUCGCCUAUAUGGAUAAGGAAAAAAUUAUUAAUUAACAUUUUGACAUAUAUAUAAGUACAGGGCCCUUCCAAUGAGGGAUCCCUAUUUUAAGCCAUUUAUAGGGAUAUGGCAUUACACCAACUUCCCGAUUAUAAUUUUACAUCUCCACCGUUCAUAUCUUAGGUCUAUAUGAGUAGAUCACCUCUACAAAAUUUCAUAUGAUUUGGUGAUCGUUAAGGCUUUCAAAAGUUCAAUUUAGUUUUAAUGACCUUCAACGGUUUUAGUUUGACAUAAGCUGGACCGUUCAA